rnacentral:rRNA from 1 species
UUGGCCUACGGGGGGCAGCAGUGAGGAAUAUUGGUCAAUGGGCGGAAGCCUGAACCAGCCAAGUCGCGUGAGGGAAGAAGGCCCUGCGGGUCGCAGACCUCUUUGGACGGGGAGCAAGGCCGCCGACGUGUCGGCGGAAGGAGAGUACCCGUAGAACAAGCAUCGGCUAACUCCGUGCCAGCAGCCGCGGUAAUACGGAGGAUGCGAGCGUUAUCCGGCUUUAUUGGGUUUAAAGGGUGCGCAGGCGGCACGGCAAGCCGGCGGUCAAAUCGCGGGGCUCCACCCAGCCCAGCCGUUGA